AGUGCACAUUGUUAGCGCUUGGAGUUGAGGUCACAGCCUGGUGGAUGAACUCACAAGUGUAGGUAGUAUGCUAAACGAGUGGCAAGGGUUUGCUAACAGCCCGCCCUGUCCAGGGAGAAGAGUUUGCAAGGGAU
rnacentral:snoRNA from 1 species